GCGAGAGUGGUGAAAUUGGCAGACACGCCGGAUUUAGGUUCCGGUGCCCUAGGCAUAAGGGUUCAAGUCCCUUCUCUCGCA
rfam:Treponema maltophilum ATCC 51939 genomic scaffold aczIZ-supercont-complete, whole genome shotgun sequence.